rnacentral:rRNA from 1 species
CUUGGUCAUUUAGAGGAAGUAAAAGUCGUAACAAGGUUUCCGUAGGUGAACCUGCGGAAGGAUCAUUCACAAUGAGUGUUUUAUGGCACUCUUUAAAAAUCCAUAUCCACCUUGUGUGCAAUGUUUGUUGGGAGAGAGGCAACUCUUUCCCUUCACAAAUAUCAACCUAUAUCUUUAACAACAUUCGUCUGAUAACAUAUUAUGAAUAUACUUAAUUCAAAAUAUAACUUUCAACAACGGAUCUCUUGGCUCUCGCAUCGAUGAAGAACGCAGCGAAAUGCGAUACGUAAUGUGAAUUGCAGAAUUCAGUGAAUCAUCGUAUCUUUGAACGCAUAUUGCGCUCUUUGGUAUUCCGAAGAGCAUGCUUGUUUGAGUAUCAGUAAACACCUCAACCUCCUCUUGUUUUUUCAAAAGGAGGGUGGACUUGAGCUAUCCCAACAACCUUCACCGGUAGGCGGGCGGCUUGAAAUGCAGGUGCAGCUGGACUUUUAUCUGAGCUAAAAGCAUAUCUAUUUAGUCCUCGUCAAACAGGAUUAUUACUAUUGCUGCAGCUAACAUAAAGGAUAAUUGUCCUCAUUGCUGACUGAUGCAGGAUUUUACGACACUUUAUGUGUUGUUCAACUCGAUCUCAAAUCAAGUAAGACUACCCGCUGAACUUAAGCAUAUCAAUAAGCGGAGGA